rnacentral:tRNA from 2 species
GCACCCUUAGCUCAGUUGGUAGAGCAACUGACUCUUAAUCAGUGGGUCCAGAGUUCGAGCCUCUGAGGGUGUA